rnacentral:rRNA from 1 species
GACGUAGGGUGCGAGCGUUGUCCGGAUUUAUUGGGCGUAAAGAGCUCGUAGGCGGCUCGUCGCGUCGGCUGUGAAAACCCGUGGCUUAACUGCGGGCUUGCAGCUGAUACGGGCGGGCUAGAGUUCGGUAGGGGAGAUUGGAAUUCCUGGUGUAGCGGUGAAAUGCGCAGAUAUCAGGAGGAACACCGGUGGCGAAGGCGGGUCUCUGGGCCGAUACUGACGCUGAGGAGCGAAAGCGUGGGGGAGCGAACAGG